rnacentral:rRNA from 1 species
GAUGACGCUGGCGGCGUGCUUAACACAUGCAAGUCGAACGAUGAAGCCCAGCUUGCUGGGUGGAUUAGUGGCGAACGGGUGAGUAACACGUGAGUAACCUGCCCUUAACUCUGGGAUAAGCCUGGGAAACUGGGUCUAAUACCGGAUAGGAGCGUCCACCGCAUGGUGGGUGUUGGAAAGAUUUAUCGGUUUUGGAUGGACUCGCGGCCUAUCAGCUUGUUGGUGAGGUAAUGGCUCACCAAGGCGACGACGGGUAGCCGGCCUGAGAGGGUGACCGGCCACACUGGGACUGAGAAACGGCCCAGACUCCUACGGGAGGCAGCAGUGGGGAAUAUUGCACAAUGGGCGCAAGCCUGAUGCAGCGACGCCGCGUGAGGGAUGACGGCCUUCGGGUUGUAAACCUCUUUCAGUAGGGAAGAAGCGAAAGUGACGGUACCUGCAGAAGAAGCACCGGCUAACUACGUG